GGCAAGGUGGCCGAGUGGUUAAGGCGAUAGACUCGAACUAACCUGAUCCGUCAGGCAAACUCGGCUAUCUAUUGGGUUCGCCCGCGUAGGUUCAAAUCCUGCCCUUGUCG